UGCAUCGUGAUUUCAGGAGAGAGUGGUUCUGGGAAGACUCAAAGCACAAACUUUCUUAUUCACCACCUUACUGCUCUCAGUCAGAAAGGAUUUGCCAGUGGAGUAGAACAGAUUAUUCUUGGAGCUGGACCAGUACUUGAGCCUUUGGAAAUGCAAAGACAGCUCAUAAUAACAAUUCAAGUCGUUUUGGGAAGUUUAUUCAAGUAAAUUACCAGGAAACAGGCACUGUACUUGUGCCUAUGUUGAAAAAUAUCUACUGGAGAA
rnacentral:lncRNA from 1 species